CGCGUAUGCAACUGCCUACCAGUCGGGGAUAGCCCGGCGAAAGUCGGGAUUUAUACCUGAUGAAACAGGGGUCCCGCAUGGGGAUAUUUGUUAAAGGUUUACCGCUGGUAGAUGGGCAUGCGUUCCAUUAGGUAGUUGGCGGGGUAACGGCCCACCAAGCCCGCGAUGGAUAGGGGUUCUGAGAGGAAGGUCCCCCACACUGGUACUGAGACACGGACCAGACUCCUACGGGAGGCAGCAGUGAGGAAUAUUGGUCAAUGGCCGGGAGGCUGAACCAGCCAAGUCGCGUGGAGGAAGACGGCCCUACGGGUUGUAAACUUCUUUUAUGGGGGAAUAAAGUGCCUUACGUGUAAGGUUUUGUAUGUACCCCAUGAAUAAGCAUCGGCUAACUCCGUGCCAGCAGCCGCGGUAAUACGGAGGAUGCGAGCGUUAUCCGGAUUUAUUGGGUUUAAAGGGUGCGUAGGUCGGCCUUUAAGUCAGCGGUGAAAGUUUGUCGCUCAACGAUAAAAUUGCCAUUGAAACUGGGGGCCUUGAGUAUGUUUGAGGCAGGCGGAAUGCGUGGUGUAGCGGUGAAAUGCAUAGAUAUCACGCAGAACUCCGAUUGCGAAGGCAGCUUGCCAAGCCAUAACUGACACUGAAGCACGAAAGCGUGGGUAUCAAACAGGAUUAGAUACCCUGGUAGUCCACGCUGUAAACGAUGAUCACUAGCUGUUUGCGAUAGACGGUAAGCGGCACAGCGAAAGCGUUAAGUGAUCCACCUGGGGAGUACG
rnacentral:rRNA from 1 species